rnacentral:pre_miRNA from 1 species
GGCUUGUUUUCAGUUGCCUGCGGGUUUAUUUGGACGACUCAGGCAGCUAAAGCAAGUCUG